rnacentral:rRNA from 1 species
AUACGGAGGGUGCAAGCGUUGUUCGGAAUUACUGGGCGUAAAGCGCGCGUAGGCGGUCUGUUAUGUCAGAUGUGAAAGUCCACGGCUCAACCGUGGAAGUGCAUUUGAAACUGGCAGACUUGAGUACUGGAGGGGGUAGUGGAAUUCCCGGUGUAGAGGUGAAAUUCGUAGAUAUCGGGAGGAAUACCGGUGGCGAAGGCGACUACCUGGCCAGAUACUGACACUGAGGUGCGAAAGCGUGGGGAGCGAACAGGAUUAGAUACCCGGGUAGUCC